GACGAACGCUGGCGGCGCGCCUAACACAUGCAAGUCGAACGAGAGAGAAGGAGCUUGCUUCUUCGAUCGAGUGGCGAACGGGUGAGUAACGCGUGAGGAACCUGCCUCAAAGAGGGGGACAACAGUUGGAAACGACUGCUAAUACCGCAUAAGCCCACGGGUCGGCAUCGACCAGAGGGAAAAGGAGCAAUCCGCUUUGAGACGGCCUCGCGUCCGAUUAGCUAGUUGGUGAGGUAAUGGCCCACCAAGGCGACGAUCGGUAGCCGGACUGAGAGGUUGAACGGCCACAUUGGGACUGAGACACGGCCCAGACUCCUACGGGAGGCAGCAGUGGGGAAUAUUGCACAAUGGGGGAAACCCUGAUGCAGCGACGCCGCGUGGAGGAAGAAGGUCUUCGGAUUGUAAACUCCUGUUGUUGAGGAAGAUAAUGACGGUACUC
rnacentral:rRNA from 1 species